AAGUGGGUUACCCCUCCCCAACGGGGGGCAACUAUCUGGAAGGAUAGAGUAA
rfam:Rhizobiales bacterium TMED94 85329, whole genome shotgun sequence.